GCUGCAUCUCUGAGUCGAAGGAGUCGAGCGAGUCCACACACUCUCCGCUCCACACACGCACUCCAGGAUCAACACUACAGUGCAGGUCCAGGGCAGCCAUCAUGUGCUCUGUGUGUGUGUAUCAGACUAGGAGGAAGUCAGGUGCGAGGCUUCUCCCUCUAUAUUAGAGUUUAAUUCAGAGAAGCUCGUCUUCCCAUCGAGAUCAUUCUCAGCUUUUUUCCUUCACCCGGUUCUGUAGAGGUCAACGACCCCUGACGGAUGAGGACCUCUGACCUGCUUGGAAGCAAACGGAGUCCAGUGCUUUCCAAAAUACCAGUGAGUGCUGUUUCAUUUGGGGUGUGUGAGCUGCGGGAUCAGAAACCGGACACCGGAGUGUCUCCUGGGUGCCGGAUGGAGCUGCGUGUGAUGUCCUGUUCCAGGUUCCUCAGCAGUUCCUCGUUGAUCUCUCCACCUGAAGUGUAUUGCAGGUGUUUGCGCUCAGCUUUGCGUACACGAUACUGAAGGAUCCUGCAGUUUUUAUUGGCUCGCUCCAGCUCUCGCCGCAGCUCAUGCAACCGGCAGUUCCACUUCCCACCCUCCAGCCAGCUCUCUCCUUCCACACAACCGCUAUGAGCCCGAGGGGGUGAAGCCUAACACACACUUCCUCUGAGACACGUGAGGCCAGACAAUAAUCAAACUCUCACUCAAGCUGCAUCACAGAGUGGCGGAACAGAAAAAAGCUCCAUCUGCCCUGUUCCACAUAGAUGAGCUCACAGAUGCACAUGAUUAUCUAGUGUGGCUGUGAUUGACCAGAGAGAGAGUAAGCCCCUCCCACACCCAAUCCUGUGCUCGAGAUUGGCCAUGUCCUGAUCUGUUGUUGACUCUGUUCAUGCUGAAAUGUACUGCAGUGGAGUUGAUUUGUGUCACUAAAUAUUGUGUUGUGAAAAAGUUUGAAAAAUAAUUCAAUAAUAAUCAAAUAAUAAUUUGAAUAAUAAUUCAAUAUAUAUGAGCUUAUCAUGUGUAAUGUCGUGAGCUGGUACAGUGCACAAAUUCUUACAUCACACAAUUUUAUUCAAUUAGAAUUUAAAUAUACAGGGUGAACAAAAAAAUCAGGAAACUCUGAGCGUAUCAAGAAGCACUAUUUCUAAAAUUUCU